AGUCCGAACGAACGUCACCGGUUAUUAUUAUACACCGGCUUACGGCGAACCAGCGGAGUGUAUUUCUCCGAGCGUCGCGACAACGUUCGCCGCGCUAGAGAAUUUCCGCUCUAACCGAAUCAGCCCGAUGAUCGCGAUUAGGUUAGGUCAGAUUAGGUUAGGUUGUGGUUGGACGUUUGUCCAAACGACGUGACGUAUGGAAAAAAUGUCCGCCACGGUGGCUAUAACGCGUAGGCGUUGGCGCACGUUCGGUUCAGUAUUCGUCGGGGAGCAGUCGCGAUUCAUGUAAGGAUAAUAUUAUCUCGUUACGUUUGGCUUUUGGGUGUCGGAGUUGGUCUUUUAAUUUGUAUUCGCGUCUAUCGCGGGCAAUUGUAACGCGUAAAGUGGACGCCCGCGAUAAACAGGGGGUGACGAUAAUGGGUGUUGGGAGAGGGCGAGGGAGAUAUACGGCCCCUCGUGUGAUUUCACCUUCAAUAUUCAACGUUCAAUAUUAAUGACAAUAAUAUGUACUGUACAAUAUUGCCCGUAAAUCCAUACAAUUUAAGUAAUAAUAAUUUUUUAGAAAAAAGUAGCCUCGUUCCUUCCCCGUCCGUGUUAAAAUCAUUUGACUGCCACUGCGAUAAACGUUUGUCAAAAACAACGGAGUAGGAAAGACAGAGUCACGGUUGUCUGUGAGUAUCCGAAUGUUUCGUAUUGUUAUUGUUCACGAAAUCAACUUGUCACCCAUCACAGCAGAUGUAUUCUUUGUUUUAUAUUUUGACAACACGCAGU